rnacentral:lncRNA from 1 species
AUACAAUAUCUUUUCUUCAAAUUUCACUGCUUCACUAUAUUCUAUAAAGAGAUAAUAAAAACUAUACACCAGAUAAACUGGCCACCCUCGCCAAAAAAAGAGAUAAACUGGCCACACGCAGGUCCUCAUAGUAAGUAUCUUACCAUGCGUGAUACAUCUUUUGGCAACAAUAUUCCCUGUUAAUUAUGAUUGUCGGAACAUCAGGAACCUGGGACAUUAACAACUGCCAAAAUUUGUUUCUAGAAGCUCAUGUACCUUUUUGCUUUCUUAUGUCAAGAUGUAAAUUUCCAUGGUCAUGAAGACUUUUUUAUCAAGCCAUUGUCCACUCAUUACAAUAAAUGAUCUAUUGUUUGUACAAAAUUAGCUCAACAAAAGGAAGAUGAGAGCAACGGAAAUAAAAUUGUAUCGCUUCACAUGCAGUAAGUGAAAGAGAAAUGAGUAAGGGGGCAAAUUUAGUUGUGUGAACAAAAGUACCAAAAGUACCAACGAUGGUGUCUAGUAUUCUUUCUUAAUUUACCUACUUCUGGCCAAUAUCCUCAGAGACAACCUCUCUUUUUGUGCAGCAAAUGUCAGUGACUCUCUUCCAAGAAGUAAGUCCCGGAAUGACAACCACGACACACGCAAGAACUCUCACAAGGCAACGAAAGUGAGCGACGCGGCCUGGCCAAUUACCUGCCCCAAACCAACCAAAAAAAUCUAGCCAACGGAUCAAAGUAGAACGCAGAACAGUGAGUAUGUUUUAUUGGUAAGCCAGAUUAAACACAGUUGAAAAACAAUGUUAAUAGAUCCUAUUGAGACAAUAAAUGGAGGUGGUUCAGUAUUGGCUUUAUAUAAACUAUAAAUAGAGGAAUACCCUAGCUCUGUGUGAAAACUUAAAAGAAUGCAUAGAGCGUAAGGUUUUGACACUACAAACUAUAGUAAUGAUUCGCUGAUUACGACAUGCAUUGUAUACAAUGCAUAUCUAUUUCACAAAAACCUAAAGGUACAACCAAUAUUAAUAAUGUCUGAACAUUUGAUGUGCAUAUCAGUAAUAAACAAUGACCAAGUAAUGAAAAGUAUUGUACAAAUAAUUAAAUGAUUCUAACUUGCAGCUAAUUUUAAGAAACAACAUCACAUCAUAUACAACAAAUCUUAGUCAAGGUGUGCGGGCCAUAAACAUGAAAAUCCAAGGAGUAGUAACUUCCCAUUAUAAGCGGACAACACACAAUGUUGUUAUUGCCUUUACUUUAUACUAUUAUUAGCUUUGGUUCAAUUAAAAACCAUUUUAGCGUUUGCAUGGCUUGUACUACAGGGAUGAUUUGAACAAAAAAGUGAAACUCAUCUUGGAUAACCAUGAAGACAUAUAUUGGGUAGCUGAAACAAAACCGAUCAAAUAGGAAAAACAUUGAUCCAAUGCGUAUCCAUGGUACACAAACUGCCUAAAACAACCGACUAUUGUAGGAAGACAAAGACAAAGCAAAUAUAAAUAUAAAAGAAUCUGAUUAGAAUGUUACUGCUUAACAUACAGCAUGUACUGGCAUACAAACUAAAUGUAAUCACCAACUUCCUUAACUAACGGUUUACAAAAAAUACUAAUCAGCCAGACAAUACCAUCACAGACCAUUCAAUAACAGAGAGAAAUACCAAAUGAAUGAACUCAUUCUAAAAAUAAGCAUUUGAGAAGUCACAAAAAAUGUUCUCUUUACCUGCUAACUUAUAUUUAGGAACACAAGGAGUAGUUACUAAAUGUGUAUGUUCAUUCCAACUAUCUAAGUGCUUUUAUCCUCGAUCCAUGUACAUUAACUGUUCACUCGUUGUGCAAUGCUAUGAUGCUUAGAAGAUAUCCUUAGAAAAACCUGGAUCUUCGUACAUGUAAACUAAUAUUCAGAUUCUUAUACUUCCCGUGACCUAGCAUUUAAACAUCACAUAGAAAAUUAUGAGAAUAAAUGCUAAUAGUUUAAGAAAAUAGUGCAGCACCAGCAAUCAUAGAGCGACUAAUAAUAAAGCUUGAAACUAAAAGGUUUACAAAUCAGAGAUAUAUAGGAAGUGUAGGAGAUCUUCAGUGAAGUGUAAGAGAUCUUCCACCAAGAGGAGAUUAAUAGGAAGUUGUUCAUCCAAUUCAGGUUGAUCUUCCUUUUGCUUCGAUUUACUGGUGUUGAAUAAAUUAUCCUGGAUGAAUACGUUCAGCUAAAUGCAGCAGGACCUUAAAAUAAAUAAAUAAUAGGGGGAUCACCUUGCUGCAGCAGGCUAGCGG